CAAUACACUAAAUCUAAAAAUAAUUGGUAAAUAGGUAUAAAAAAAAAAUUGGCUGAAUUCUUGAUAAAUCAAUUAUUAUUGAUUAGAAAGACAACUUCCAUUAUCGUGUUGUGAUGUUUUAAGAUAAACCUAACCUCUAACAAUUAUAACAGAUUGAUAACAGCUUAUCAAUAUUCAUAUGAUUUUUUCUCUAAUGUUUCGUCAUUCGUCUUCAAAAAUAGCUUAUUUGAGUUCUUUACAUAUUAAAUUAAUAAAUUGUAUAUAAAAUGACUUAGCUAUUGAAUAAUGAUUUGAUAUUAAAUUACACUAGUAAAUAUUAAAUACAUCUCUUUGGCAUGAAUUUCAUAACAAAUGCUUUUUAUACCAGAUAUAGUUAUAUUAUUUAUUGAAAAAAAUCGAUGGAAACUGAAAUUAGUUAUGUAAGAUGUUGUUAUUAAAUAUCAUUCAUAGAAAUAAAGAUGAAUGUUUCCUACUGAUAUUAGCAUUAUUACUUUAUUAUGUGAUGAUAUUUCUCGAAGAAUCAGAAAGGAUUCAUUGAUAUUUUUAUUGAAGUUAAAACGAUUAGACUGAUAUUAUGAUUAUACAUGAACUACAUAACACAACUCAAGAUUAUUAAGAGUUAAUUCUCUAUUUGCUUCUGAAUUACUUUUUAAGAAAUAUAUGCAUUGAAAUAAAAUGAAAUAAAACUAAUAAAAUUAUAUUGUUUUAUUUAGCACAAUUACAAAUGAUAUUAAUUUGAGUAUAAUGUAUUUAUCGAAUUAAUGAAAUUAAAUUUAUUUACGUAUCAAGAGCUAUAACAAAACUGAAGGUUAAUCGAUAGAACUUUAAUUUUAGAUGUUAGACAUAUUCAUUUUAUGAACAAGCAUCUAUACAACUACCCUAACUCAUCACGGUUUACAAGGAAUUAAGUUUCUACUUAAUUAUAUUAAGCAAAAUACUUAUUUAAUGCUAUGAAAAAUUUUGAUUAUAAUGGUGUCAUGUAAGUAACAAUAUAACAAAAAAACUGAAGAAUUUUUUUUGUUACUGAAAUAGUGAUUUCAAAAGCGAAAUUGUCAAUUUUUUAGCUACUACUUUUAGAAAUAGUUAACUCAUAAUAAUAUGAACAUAACUAUAAAUUUUAUUGAUUGAUAAUGUACACUGUCUUAAUACAAAUAAAUCUAGCAGUUUUUAUUUAUCAAAAUUAUUGAUGUCUAAUUCAAUUUUUUUUUAACAAUAUAGUGUUUUUUUUUUUAAGUUUCAAGAGAAUAUAAUUUAUACUUAAUUUAAUAGAACAUUCAUUUAAUUAAAUCAAAGAUAAAUUUAAUUAUACAAAUAAAUAUAACUGUUGUUACUGAUACUUCAAA